rnacentral:rRNA from 1 species
CUCCUACGGGAGGCAGCAGUGAGGAAUCUUGCGCAAUGGGGGAAACCCUGACGCAGCAACGCCGCGUGAGUGAGGAAGGUCUUCGGAUCGUAAAGCUCUGUCAGAUGGAAAGAACCGCAUGGGGGCCAAUACCCCUCAUGCCUGACGGUACCAUCAGAGGAAGCACCGGCUAACUCCGUGCCAGCAGCCGCGGUAAUACGGGGGGUGCAAGCGUUGUUCGGAAUUAUUGGGCGUAAAGAGCGUGUAGGCGGCAGGAUGUGUCAGAUGUGAAAGCCCUGAGCUCAACUCAGGAAGUGCAUUUGAAACUGUCCAGCUUGAGUAGGGGAGAGGGAAGUGGAAUUCCUGGUGUAGAGGUGAAAUUCGUAGAUAUCAGGAGGAACACCGGUGGCGAAGGCGACUUCCUGGCCCUAUACUGACGCUGAGACGCGAGAGCGUGGGUAGCAAACAGGAUUAGAUACCCUGGUAGUC